ensembl:lincRNA Gm43122 predicted gene 43122
GGAGUCUGUCUUGGGUUCAGAGGCUGAUUGACACCCUGGCAGCCCACAAGGAAAUGUGUUUAUCUCAGAAGCAUUUGGCAGAGGUGGCACGGUCGGGCCAAGCUGGUAGAAAGACUCCAUUUCUCAACCCAGCUUUCUACGUGGAAUUAUUUAGAGGGAAACUUUAUCAGGCGGCCUUCCAGCUCCACGUCAUCUGUCUUGCCGAGAUCCCUGGAACACCAGGAGUGAUGGAAGUGGGCUCUCCCAAGAUGCAGAGCUCAGGCCUCCCAGUGAUAAAAUGUUUUCAGCUCUCCCAAGACACCGCCCGGGGACAGUCAUUCUGCCUGGCUUUCUGCCCCAGCUACGUGGAGCUCUCACCCAGCGGGUCUGUGCUUCAUGCUGGGGAAUUCAGAAACAGAGUCCCAGUGAGAACCAGAGACCUGGUCCCUGCCCUCAGCAAGUCUGAAUUUUGCUUGAGGACACAGCUCACAUCUGUGUGCGAAAACCACUUUGGAAUACUUAUGAAGCUGCCUUGUGUCCCUUGCAA